GAUUCCACAGAUGUAGAUUGGCUAUAGAACAAGAUUUUAUUAUAACCUAUACUUGUAAUCAGUCAGUUUUCGUUCCGAACUUUGAAACAGCAUGGAAAAAACAUGUUUACUAGUUAAGCCUAACUAGGCUUAACUAGCCGAAAACUAUUUAUACUGUAUAUUACUAUUUACAUACAACGGUUAUACUAUUUUCUUUUCAAUACUGAAUGUAUUAAUCAUGUAAUUUACGUACAUCGAUAAAAUUCUAUAAUUUCUUUUUCGAUAUGUGACAUGUUUAUGUUGUCAUCCAUUUUUCCCGUCCUCUCUUGCUAGCGUAAAUACUCUAGUUGUUGAAAUAUCUGAACAGCGAGCGUACUCUCGUAUCGCUGCGCUAGCGAAGGAAAAACAGCGUGGGCAAGAAGACAUGGGCGGAGCCUUCGACGUCAUCGGUUGUCUAGCGCACGUUUGCUAGCGUGUUUGCUCUCGCAAAGCCCUAGUUUGCGGCGGCUCUAAAAGACGUAGAUAAUAGUUUACAAAAUGGGCUAAAUCGCCCCGCGUUAACCCGUUUAAAUCUUAAAAUUGCGACCUUUCUUACGCCAGCGCGUCCAAACUCGCCGAUUUCCGCCGCAACCCGUUAACUUAUUUGGAUGACUAAUUACGGCGGGCGCCUUCCGUUCAUCUCCUCCCGCCGAUUUCGUCGCUUACCUUCGAAUUAGCAAUUGGUCCGACCUCCACACUUUCCAAUCGGCCGUCUUCGGCAUAGCGCCACGCCCCGUACUGUCCGGCCUGGUGGAGAAGUUUCCAUCCGGAGCCGGAUCUACAUAAAUAGGUCUACUCUGUCCUCUGCCACAGCGGCCAUUUUGGGGCUUACGGAUACAGUAUAUCCCAAGUGAAAGAAUGGGUUAUUGUGUGGCACGAAAUUGUAAAAGUAAACCUUCGGACGUUAGAUUAUUUAGAUUUCUUGAAGAAAAGCAAGAUGGCUGCAGACGGGAUAAAUGACGGCCGACCGAACCUUCUACACCCAGUACGACUGUCGAGAUCUUAACGGAGCGUACACCGUGCCCGCGGUAGCAAUACACUCGAAGGAACAUGCCUCUAUGCCAGAUAUUUGCCGGCUUCGAGUGUCGGUGGAGUACUUAAUAUAAUUUUAGAUGAUGCGGGUACUCGUUCCCGCUCGGGUGUCGACGCGCCAGUGGCAGUGAGCGCCGAAGCAUCGGUCCAGGCUCGGCUACCGCUCUCUUCCGAUGCCAGCGCGGAGAAUAGCAAUAGUACCGGUUCGAGGUAAAUACUGCUUUUGAUCGUAAGAGCUAACGCAUUUUUUUCGUUACGGGCACCGGUCGCCACGCUUUUAACUCUCGCCAGCGAGAUGGCGCCCGCACUGCGCCGUUACGACGCCUGGCCAAGGGUGGCGCGUCGAACUCUAUUCUCUGUCGAUAAACGUUAGCCGGGCCGUCCGUUAAACGCGCGGUAGGAGCCCGGAAGUAGGCCUCAUGUGGCCAAGUGUCACGUAUAGAGGUACGGUUCCUUCGAAUUUUCUCGGAUGUUAUUGCACACUUUACAAAAUGCCGGCCUGGGUGAUAAAACUAAUGCGAUUAGUUUGGAUGGAGACGGCGAACGACGAGGAUGUUCUUUAUUUUUCCACCGUUUUAAUGGAGUCUCGUAACGGUCCGAAGUUAUUAGACCGGAAUCUCGCUGGUUUUACGUAAUUUUAAUUUCGUGUCGAUAAGACUUUACUACUGGUCCGGGUUUGUUUAAAACCCGCACUAUUCAAAAAGCCCCAAAAUGAGAUGGCCGAGCGGUGGAGGUGGCAGCCUACCGGCGGAUGGAAAAAUCUCCAGGAAUUUUUUGGGGUGGUCCGGAUACGUCGGCCGCGUCCCUAACUACCCGCCCGCCCCAUUGCGGGCCGGAUCGAAGCCGUAAUGGGCUGGCUAAACGAAGGUCCUCUUAGUGCCCGCUGCGGAAACUUAAAAAAAAAGCCCCAAAACGGCGGUUCCAGACCUAUUUAUAUAGACCCGGCUUUGGACUAGCGUUGCGGCACUAGUCGAGAGCGAGAUCUUUUUGUGCACCGUAUAUAACGGAAAGCGUCGAUAAUCUUGGCCGAGACAAGAUUGGAGUAUUUCCAAAAACACCAAACUGGGGGCCUUAAAGCUUUUUGACCAAAACAGAUAAGAACGAUGAAAAAAUUUGCGUGUUACAACGAUCAUCUUGUCUAUAAAACGGCUUAAAAGGCGACACCGGGAAUCGAUAAAUGGCGGCGAAAGUCUCCCUAGUUCUUAUAAAGAGAAAUAUCGACCGGCUAAACCCGAUUUUUCCAUACCUAAAUGCGAAACGACCACGACUUAAUUUCGUCUAAAGCCACGUUUACGUCGGCAUCGGAUACGGCCUGUGAAACGAUGCCAUGUGUCCGCAUCGUUUCCCACGGAAGGAACGAUAGGUUCGUUUUAUUCCGUUCCGGAAGAGUCCGUCGUCGGACGCUUUCGGAGAGACGUUCCUCCGCCGGAACCGGAAGUAACGAGGAGGAAGAAAAUCCGACGGGGUAAAUACUUACUCGUAAUCGUUCCCAGAUUCUGGCUGACGGACGUUCUUUCUCGUCGAAUCCACCUUCGCUCAGCGCCACCUGCCGCCAUCGAUCGAUUUUCACUCCAAAUUUACGGGAGAAUAUUUUGAUACAAUUUUAAGAUUUUACUUUUAAAAAGGACGACGGUGAUCAUUUGUGUUACAUUAUUUAUCCUUUUAUCGAAAAAUGGCUUAAUUGUAGUUUUCCGUCUUCGAAAAAAAAGGAACGGACGAUUCCCAUUCGAUACCGAAUCGUAGACGUCGCCGACUUCCGGUAAAAACCAAGAUUUGAGCGUCGUUUCAAAAUGGGAAGAGAUAGACCCUGAAACGGACGUGUUAAAAUAAUUGAAUGCCGGUUGUCGCGACUCGCGAAUUGCCCGCAGUAUUUUAUCGUCGACGUCGAUCGUAUUUAUAGGUAAAAAUGUCGAAAUUCCAACGAAUAUUCUCGCUUGGCCGACGGAAGGAACGAUAUCAUUCGAUUCCGUAUUUCGUUCCGGAAGACUCCGUCGUCGGACGCGUGUCCGCCCAAACGGGAGGAAAAUCCCUCGGCCAUCGGAAAAAAGGAAAGAUUCGUAGUUUAGGAACCGGUCUAUUUGAAAAUAAAAAGAAACAAAUCGGAACACGGUAACAAUUAUUAAUAGCGGUACGGGACCAUUUAAACUUUAGGUCGGCACUCUUCGGGAAGAGAGGUUUGGUUUUUCCCCCAAUGUUGGCAAAAUUGUUUGAAAUUAAUUGCCGCGUAUUUGAGAAUGGUUUUAACUUUUGGCCCGGUAACGUAAUCGAGAAGAGGAUACCUCGAUUUCCGACGGGAAAAACGGAAAUUUUUGGCUUUGGCUUCGUAAUACCCGAACACUCCCGAUUAUUGCAGAAAUCGAAAAUAAUCGAGAACUGGUGAUUAAAUAAUAAAAAUUAGCUUCUCUACAUUCCAAAUCGAUGAAUUUGCAUAUUUCGUACUUUUAUCUACCCAUCCUUUUCUCCUCGGUACCAUUUCUUAUUUUGGUUUAAAAAAGUAAUAAUAAUAAUAUGUUUAAUUGAAGAAUAACUUUUUAUUCGAGAGUUGGAUAAGUAAGAUGUCGCCCAUAACCUAUUAAUUAAAGGUCGUUUGGGCUUCCACUCGUCCGUGUUUUGUUUCCGUGCUAAAACGGAUGCGAUUUAAAAUGAAUAGAAAAUCGGUCGGAGAGGAGGACGUCCCGUCGACAGACCAGAGAAUUAAUUACAGAUUCUCCGUUUCCCGGUUCGUUGAUCUUUAUAAACAAAAAAAAAUAAUUAUCUGGAUGUGUAUUGCGCGUAAAACUUACAAUUAACCGACGAUUCUUUCCGUUUACGGUAAGUCGCUGGUUUAUCGAUGUCGGGUAACGGUUCGUUGUCGAUGUCCGUAUACUUGCGAGACGUAUCCGCUCCGCGCUUCCUGUCGUCUGCAUUUUUGAAUGAUACUUUCGUUCGAAAUUCGCCUUAUUUCAGUUCUGUAUUUACGUUUUUGCUCACCUUCCGAGAUACGCGUCUGCGUAUCUAAUCUAAUUUUAAGAAACGUUUUUAAUUAUUCUUCGUUCUGUCCUUAUCUUUAUCCAUGCUCGAGUUUCUUGUCCGAUCGUCAGACUAACAUUUCUUCUACAUUAUACCCCAUUUCCAAAGUAAUUUGUUUGUUUAUUUUUCAAUAUUUAAUUAACGUCCUUUACGUAACAUUCCUUAAUUUCCGGCAAUUAAUAUUUGAAUUGGUUAUUUCCAAUCUGGUUUCUUUCUCGUUGUUUUCGUAGUCGACUGUGGUAGAGAGAUUUAAUUGAUUUUAUAUGUAAAUUACUCUUAUUGUUGUUCUCUCUGCAUUCGUAACUUCUGUUCCGGAAGUGAUUUUUCGUUUUGCACCCCGCUUGCGGUCUUCCAGUCCGAACAUAUUUUCGGUAUUAUUCGAUUUCGGUGUUGCGAAUUUCGUUAAUUUAAUUAAUAUAUUACGUCCUUCGAUAAUCAAAUUUAAUCCCGAUUCUUCUCUCGUACGUUUCCUUCUCGCGUGUUGUAUAACUAAAGAAAAUUACCUCCGUAUCAAAUUGCGAAAAAUUAGAAAUAUUACAAAAUAUUCUCCGGUUUCUUUGACUUUUACGUUUAGUUUUUGUUUUAAAAAACUGGAAAUUUUAUGCGAUAACGACUUACACGAUUGCCGGAAAUUUGGAUUUUACGUAAAUUCUCCUUUAAUUUACAGAAAUAAUUUACCGGAAAGAGCAUUGUUUUCGUCGCGUUAAAAUUCAUUGGAAUAAUAACAAAGCCAAUGAUGCCAGUAAUACAGAAAGUGGUUUAAGCGGGUGUGUAAAGACUUAUUCUACACCGGAAAACGUAAUUUGCUAGUGUCUAUCUUACUGCUGUGGAGAAAUUCUUCCAUCAAAUUCUUUUAACACUCGAUAGGAAACGACGAGGUUGCCACAAGGUGUCCGUACAUUCCGAUAAUUCGACCGAAUGAAAAAGAAAUUACUUGAUUACAGUACUUUUUUGUUGUUAAGGUAAUCUAACUUAAAUUAAUUAUUUUUUUCCUUUUGGGCCGCAAUUUAAAAACUUGUAAAACUGUAAAUUCGCACUGUCGCCCGUCCGUCUGUCCUUCCUCAAUGUAGAGAAUAGAGUUGGGCAGAUGAAAUUCGAGAGCGGGUAUGGAAAUCGUAGGAGUGGGAAGCCCGAUUAACUAUAUACGAAGUUCCGAUGCAAACCGGAAGCGACGUUUUUUUUCAAUGGGAAAAGUUUUCGCGAAAUGUGUUAGAUAAAUGACCGGCACGAGCCUAAUGUUAAAGGAAAGGUAUGAUGUACGGGGGCGAGCUACUACUAAUUUGAGGCGGAGAGCGUAUAUUUUAAAUUAAGUAAAUUAAAAAUAUGAUUAAAAAUUGCAGCCCGGCAUUGCGACCGUGUCACAAUACAUAAUUGCUGGUCUUUUGAGUGGUAUAUUUAGAAUUUUUUAGAACGAUAUUAAUUCAAAUAUAACGGAUUUAUCUGAAAGAAAUAAAAGUAGCGUAUAUCGUGUGUUUUCUUAGCCGCGUCGUCACAAAUAAGUUAUUUGAGAAGAAGCGUAAUUGGCCGAAGAAGUUCGAACAUCGUACUUCUGAAAAGUGUGAUUUUCCUCGCUCCGAGUCCAGUCACGAAACACAACCUAAAAUUGUGUUGAAAUUUAGAAAUAAAUUUACAGAUAAAAUGGAGGGUGGAAGAUAAUUACCUUCGGACGACAUAAAUGUAAAGAAAAAGCGAAAACUGCGGAAGAGACUACCGGUUAAAUGAAUUCCAGUUAGCCCUAUUCCAAUUCGCAGAAAUUCGCACUAACGAGUAAAGAGAAGAGCGGGUCGAUUUCCGGAAACAACUGCAUUUAUAUAGGCCGUAUAUUGUAGUCGUCGACGUUAACAGGUGAUAGUUUAAAGGUUGCUUUGUUUUAAUUAAUUAAAAAAAAUGACAAAUGAUUUGUAAUUAAAAACGGUUAAAUAGAAAAGAGCCGUACGGGGGACAGAAGGACGUUUUACGCUUAUUAUUUAAACUGCACACAUACACAAAACUAGUAAGUUCCAACCUGGUAGGCGAUAUUUGUUGUGAGUAUUUUCUGUUUAUCCACAAUUCUUUACUACUGCUUACGAUCGUUGUAAAAUGCUGCUCGAACAUUAAUACGGCCUUUUAACGCGUUUGGCAACGAAACGGCGAGUAGUCCCGGUCCGAAGACUUUAUCCCCGUCGACUAUUCCUAAGGAGUUGACACGGAAUAGAAUUAGGGUGUCGUACUUUUUUUUAACCAAUUUUUAUAUCUUUCGAUACGAGCGCGAAGACAGCCUUUUUUCCAUAUCGACGGUGGGUUCCGUCGGAAUACAAAACGUAAAAAUGCGUGCACUAAGGAGAGCUGGACGUUAUCCGCUUGUCGAUUUAAUGUACAUCUACUUAUAUUUUCUUACAUAACCCGUACGUGGCAAGGACCGUAAUAUCGGACGUCGCGAUACAAAAUUAUUGUAAGUAAAUCGAUGGUAAGUGCUAAUAAUUAAUAAUUUGAAAAUAAUUAAAACACUAAAAGAAAGGAAAAAACUGUCUUAUUUAGAUUUUGUAUACGUAAAAUGUUAGAACCAAAACACAUUUAAAAUUAAAUAUUUGGCCGGGGAAAGUGAGGCUAUCCGGAAUCGGUCCAUCCGUUCACACGCCGUACUCGAACAGAUACGCGCCAAUUCAAUUCAAUUACAUAAAUAACGAAAUUAGAAUAUGCAAAUAUUUAUUUAUUUAAAAUUCGGAUUAUUUGAAGAGGCGUUUGGGGGUAAACGUAUUCCGCGAAAUAUCGGCGCAAAGACGUAAAGGUUUGAAGCCGAUUGGUAUUUCUUCCGCCACCCGGGCGGGUGGUAAUAGACGCGUAAUAGGCCAACGAUUGUUCUUUUUAUAACUUAUUCGUCGCAUUCGUCCGCCGGUGGUAAACUCCGAGCUUUUUCAUCUCUGGCAGGCGUCGUGCCGCGUGCGAGAUGGGGGUGUUCCGGUCGAACUCCGAUUAAGUUAUCUUGGAGAGUCGAUUUGUACGCGAAUACUCGUCGGGUACAAAUCUCUUGGAAUACUCUACGAUAGUCGUCACCGCUUAGUUAAGCGUCCUUCUUCCCGAGUCGGAGGGAGUCGAACAUAAUUUUUCCGUCCAGUUAAAAAUUUUAAAUAAUAUUUUAACAAAUAUUUCCCUAGCAACGUCCGCGGCACACUCGUCCCGGAGUUCCGCUUACCAGCGUCGAGCGCAAACUACGAAUAUCAAUAGGCCUGACCUUAAACGUUUGCCGGGAGUCAUGGACGGAGUGGCUAUCUCGGUGGCGAAAGCCGCCGUGUUUUUCCUAGUUGCGGGACAAUUUAUUUCUGUCUGUUGCGAAGAUACUCCUGGGGAAGAGUCGCCGUCCUACCAACACGUUAUUCUUAACGCGCACUAUCGGGACGGUUCGAGUUGGUUCGGGUUCAUUCCUUGCUCGUGGUUCUGCCCCAUCGCCUGCGCCAUGAAGAUUAAUGAGAUGUUGUGCACGGACUGCCAAUGUUCCUCUUCGGACGAGCCCGCCACCGCAGAUCCUGCGUUUUAAUACCUAAGUUUACGGCGUUGGCGCGCCUAUCAUUUUCCUAUUUCGGUUAAAACGUAAAAGCGGAAAUACGAAAAAUAAAUAUUUGUCCGGAACUCGACUUUCUAUGUAAUGAAAAACAAGAAAUUAAUAAAUUCUGUCGGUUAGACGAAAUUAAAAUGCUUAGC
rnacentral:lncRNA from 1 species